rnacentral:rRNA from 2 species
GCCGUCGAAGGUGGGACAAAUGAUUGGGGUGAAGUCGUAACAAGGUAGCCGUAUCGGAAGGUGCGGCUGGAUCACCUCCUUU